UUCCAUUGAAAAAUUAUAUAAAACGUGGGUUUACACAUAAUCUGAUUUUCUAUAAUAAAAGGGUCACCUAUAAAUCAAGAGACUCACUUUUUAGUCUUCUCAGCGGAACAAUUUUGUGCAACAUACUGCUAUUUAUUUUGGGUUGUCUUUCAUGAUAGUAUACCUAGGCACCUCUGAUUAUUAUUAUUUUUGCCUUCUCUGAUUCGCAACUAUGCAUGCUUCUGCAUUAUGUAAAGCUUAGGCUGCAAGCUGGCAGCGAGAUGGAGAAACAGAAAACAUCAUAAUAACCGUAGAGCCAGCUGUGUGAUGCAUCAGAUGGAGAUGAAGGGAGACUUCAACAUCACCAUGACCGCAAGGUUGAUUUAUCUGCUAGCCAGUAUAAGAUUGAGAUUCAAAAAAUAAUAAUAAGGGGCCAUUAGAGUUUAAAUUAGAACUAAAUUAACCGACACAUGUUUAUGCGUGGGUCUACCUGUGAUUGCUGCAAUGAAUCCAAUAUAAUUUGUUGUACAAAAGGGUCAACCAUAACUAAGAACCAGUACAUUUGAAGGCGAGGUAGCAAUUAUGAGCUAAUGAAAUUGAGAUAGAAGAAAUAGCAACUGAGGAAGGUCGGGAAGAGAGUAUGGAUGUAAGUGGCAGAUAAAUGGCGUCCACAAUCCUGUUUAGUUAAUUUUUGCUAGCUUGAUAGUUCAUUUUCCUCAAACAAACAAAAAACCUUUUUAAACUAUCAUACCAUAAGUGGACUUUAAACGGGAUUAAACGGGACCGGUUGACAUGAGGAGAAGAGAGGAGGUAGCAAUUAUGAGCAAAUGAAAUUGAGAUAGAAAAAAUAGCAACUGAGGAAGGUCGGGAAGAGAGGUUGACUCCAUCGAGAUUGCUAUGAGAGAGCGCGCGGAGGCUGUACCUUGAAGCAUGCACCUCGAUCAGGAGGCUUCGACCCCAUGAUGCGCAGUCCGACGGAAGCACCGAUGAGCAUGUGCUGUAAAAUCAGGUUUUGCACAAACGCAAUGUAUUAAGGAAAAUUAGAUCAAUCGAUAGACCUUAAUUGAUAUUUUUGGAUCUUGCUGUGUACCUAGAUAGUCUUUACACACUUGUAUAUGUGAUAUUUGGAGUAAGCAUGUGACACCAGGAAACUCUUCACUGUGCCUAAAAGCAAAUAAAAUGGGAAAAGUAGCAUGAAAAGUUUAUCUUCACAAUUUCUAUCUAUUCGUAAUCUCCAGCACACUAUUAAGUUUCAGUGAUUCUUUGUCGACCAAACAAAAGAAACUCGAGAAUAAUCGAUUAAUGCAUCCAUAGUUUGUGUUCUUUACCUAAAAUCUACAUGGAACAAUUACACAGAGGGAAGUGUAGAAGAACUAUUGUGGAACCUCAAUAAAAAAGGAAGCGAGCCAACAUGCUUCACCAUAAAACAUUUGAAUUUGCAUAUACCUUUAGAUUGGAGCGUGCCUGGGAAGUACUCUUCAUCAGUAAGAAAAUAUAAAUUAGAAAAAGGUUCCAGUAUGAAACAUGAACUUGCAUAUGGUUAGAAACUGAAUAGUAAUAUUCCCACAAAAACUCAGAAACUGAAACAUAAAUUUGCAUGUGGCCACAAACUGAAUAGUAAUCUUCCCACAAACGCUCAGAAACGCAUAUAGUCAGAAACUAAAUAGUAAUCUUCCCAUGUGUAUACCGUAAUAAAAUUACUCAGAAACUGUAACUUGCAUCUACCUUCAUAUUGGAGAGUGUGUGGGGAGUAAUCUUCAGUAAGAAAACAGCAGCUCGAUCCCAAGGCAGCCGAGAAGAAACCCGAAGGAUUUAAAUGGAAGGCUACAUAUUGAAUCAAGCAAAAAUUAAAUUCAGAAUUGGAAUAGGGAAAGAAUUAAAAUGCAAGGUUGUGUAUUCAAUCAAACAAAUGAGCAUAUCAAUCAAACAUCCGGAAUAGAGAAAGAACAAAAAUUGAAAGCUAUAUAUUCAAUCAACCAAAAUUAUAUGUACAUAUCAACGAAACACACAAAAGUUCAGAAUUAGUGAUGGAUGGGGACAUUAUGUGCCAAUAGGACCCAUAAACCUGAGGCACAAUAACCAAGAUGACUGACAUAGGGAAUGUCUAGGAGAGAGGAAGAAUAACCAAGAUGACUGACAUAGGGAAUGGCUAGGAGAGAGGAGAGAGUUGCUGACCACUGGCAGCAGUAUGAGCGUCGUAUGGCAGACAUCCAUCCAUAUGGGAGGACGAUGGGAAUAAAAUGAGUGGGGCAGCAACUUUAAAAGGGAACCCGUCAGUUUCUUGUGGACAUCGUGGGGAGAGGAAGCGGAGCGUCGAC
rnacentral:lncRNA from 1 species